CAAACGUUAUUCGGAAUUACUGGGCUUAAAGGGUGCGUAGGCGGCGCAGCAAGUUGGGUGUGAAAGCCCUCGGCUCAACCGAGGAAUUGCGCCCAAAACUGCUGCACUAGAGGAAGACAGAGGUACGCGGAACUUAGGGUGGAGCGGUGAAAUGCGCAGAUAUCCGGAGGAACACCGGUGGCGAAGGCGGCUUCCUGGACCGACACUGACGCUGAGGCGCGAAAGCUAGGGGAGCAAACGGG
rnacentral:rRNA from 1 species